rnacentral:rRNA from 1 species
AUACGGAGGGUGCAAGCGUUAUUCGGAAUCACUGGGCGUAAAGGACGCGUAGGCGGGUUGGCAAGUCAGAUGUGGAAUCCUACAGCUUAACUGUAGAACUGCAUUUGAAACUGCUAACCUAGAGUAUGGGAGGGGGAGAUGGAAUUAGUGGUGUAGGGGUAAAAUCUGUAGAUAUCACUAGGAAUACCGAAAGCGAAGGCGAUCUCCUGGAACAUAACUGACGCUAAGGCGUGAAAGCGUGGGGAGCAAACAGGAUUAGAAACCCUAGUAGUCC